rnacentral:tRNA from 1 species
CAGUACUGCGGUCACCAACCCGCCUGCCCAGCGUGAUGACUAUGGGCAAAACACAUGAGUUCACGUUAUUUUUGGCGUAAACUUGUGGAGGCCUAUGUCCAGCCGUGGACUGUAUAGGCUGUAAUGAUGAUGAAUCAUUAUAAUCAUAUGUACGAUUCUAUUUUUAUGUUACCCACACAUUAGGAAUUCUAAACAUUUUUGAAUAUCAUAUCAAAAAUUGACCGCUCCAGCAGGAUUCGAACCCGCGUCUCCGACUGACCGUGUCGGCGCUCUAGCCAAUUAAGCUAUGGAACGAUGUACCCGCCAGAGCGAAAUUUUUUGAUAUGAUGAUUUUUACUUUCGGUUUAAGCGAACCGUGGCGCCGUCUAUAGUGAGUUCUUUACAGAGACCCGUAACUAUUCAAAGUUUCAUAUUACAAUGAAGAUCUUUGACAGGAGACGACACCAUGCUAUUUUUAAUAUGUUCGAUUUUAUUUUUAUGUUACCCACACAUUAGGAAUUCUAAACAUUUUUGAAUAUCAUAUCAAAAAUUGACCGCUCCAGCGGUCUCUGUAAAGAACUCACUAUAGACGGCGCCACGGUUCGCUUAAACCGAAAGUAAAAAUCAUCAUAUCAAAAAAUUUCGCUCUGGCGGGUACAUCGUUCCAUAGCUUAAUUGGCUAGAGCGCCGACACGGUCAGUCGGAGACGCGGGUUCGAAUCCCGCUGGAGCGGUCAAUUUUUGAUAUGAUAUUCAAAAAUGUUUAGAAUUCCUAAUGUGUGGGUAACAUAAAAAUAAAAUCGUACAUAUUAAAAAUAGCAUGGUGUCGUCUCCUGUCAAAGAUUUUCAUUGUAAUAUGAAACUUUGAAUAGUUACGGGUCUCUGUAAAGAACUCACUAUAGACGGCGCCACGGUUCGCUUAAACCGAAAGUAAAAAUCAUCAUAUCAAAAAAUUUCGCUCUGGCGGGUACAUCGUUCCAUAGCUUAAUUGGCUAGAGCGCCGACACGGUCAGUCGGAGACGCGGGUUCGAAUCCCGCUGGAGCGGUCAAUUUUUGAUAUGAUAUUCAAAAAUGUUUAGAAUUCCUAAUGUAUGGGUAACAUAAAAAUAAAAUCGUACAUAUUAAAAAUAGCAUGGUGGCGUCUCCUGUCAAAGAUUUUCAUUGUAAUAUGAAACUUUGAAUAGUUAGUUACGGGUCUCUGUAAAGAACUCACUAUAGACGGCGCCACGGUUCGCUUAAACCGAAAGUAAAAAUCAUCAUAUCAAAAAAUUUCGCUCUGGCGGGUACAUCGUUCCAUAGCUUAAUUGGCUAGAGCGCCGACACGGUCAGUCGGAGACGCGGGUUCGAAUCCCGCUGGAGCGGUCAAUUUUUGAUAUGAUAUUCAAAAACA